rnacentral:rRNA from 1 species
GAUGAACGCUGGCGGCGUGCCUAAUACAUGCAAGUCGAGCGAACGGACGAGAAGCUUGCUUCUCUGAUGUUAGCGGCGGACGGGUGAGUAACACGUGGAUAACCUACCUAUAAGACUGGGAUAACUUCGGGAAACCGGAGCUAAUACCGGAUGAUAUUUUGAACCGCAUGGUUCAAAAGUUAAAGACGGUCUUGCUGUCACUUAUAGAUGGAUCCGCGCUGCAUUAGCUAGUUGGUAAGGUAACGGCUUACCAAGGCAACGAUGAAUAGCCGACCUGAGAGGGUGAUCGGCCACACUGGAACUGAGACACGGUCCAGACUCCUACGGGAGGCAGCAGUAGGGAAUCUUCCGCAAUGGGCGAAAGCCUGACGGAGCAACGCCGCGUGAGUGAUGAAGGUCUUCGGAUCGUAAAACUCUGUUAUUAGGGAAGAACAUAUGUGUAAGUAACUGUGCACAUCUUGACGGUACCUAAUCAGAAAGCCACGGCUAACUACGUG